UACAGAGGGUGCAAGCGUUGUUCGGAAUUACUGGGCAUAAAGGGCGUGUAGGCGGCUUAACAAGUCAGAUGUGAAAUCUCAGGGCUUAACUCUGAAAGUGCAUUUGAAACUGUUAGGCUAGAGUGCUGUAGAGGUUGGCGGAAUACCCAGUGGAGAGGUGAAAUUCGUAGAUAUUGGGUGGAACACCGGUGGCGAAGGCGGCCAACUGGGCAGUAACUGACGCUGAGGCGCGAGAGCGUGGGGAGCAAACAGG
rnacentral:rRNA from 1 species